rnacentral:lncRNA from 1 species
GAUGAGGACACCGAGGUUCUGAGGGAGAAAUGAUUUGCCCAGAGGCACACAGCUGGUAAGAGUCAGAUCCCUGCCUGGAAUCUGGGCCUGCCUCCAAACUUACUGCAGCCAGAAUCGAUUUCCUAGAAGCAAACCCUGCUGAAAGCCAGUUUAACCCCACCCACCCCCCAGAUGCCUGAAGCCUCCAACAAAGCCCAGACUCCACUGUGGUAAAUGGUGACCCCCCCUCCCCGCCGCUUCAAAAUACUGGCAGAUUCCUGGAUAAUAUGUCCCCUGCUUGGGAGCCUCUGCCUUUUGUCUAGGAAUGACAGGCUCACCGGUCUCUUUGUCCUGCCACUCUUGCUCCUACAGGGCUCAGCUUAGAGGUCUCCUGACCUUUCGGGUUCCCAGCGGUUCCUGAGCUUCCCCCAUCACAGCAGUCAACCCUACAUUGAUUGGCGGCCGUGUACUAGUGAUUCAGUCUCCCCAUAUCCACCCCUGAGCUUCCUGAGGACAGGCCCUGCGCUUACACAUCUCUGUACCGUCAGUGCCUGGCAGGUAAUGAUGAUAAAUAUUUGUUGAAUGACAAGGAAUGGAGCAGCCUUACAAGGAGUAGAUGGGGGGUAGGAAGGAAGAGGGCACCUUUGCUUCUAGCCACUCUUCUCUCCCUACUUGUCUUUUCUGAGGAAGGGGACAGAAUGAGUGAGGCAGUUGCCACCAUGCACACUGAUCAUGUGACUCCAGUUGUUGGGAACCAAAGGAGCGGGCAAGCCCAGCUUGGAGCAGGAAUAGCCAGAAAUCAAUACUUCCCCAGUGCCAGGAGGAGGAGUGAGGGGAGGGACUGGGUGGGUGUGCCUGGAUAAGGGUGAAAGCAGCUUUGAGUCUUGGAACCAGGAGCUCCCUAUGGGCUAUAGGGACUGGAGGGGGUAGGGGCUUGCCUUCCCUGAGCUGCUUGAUGGGGAGUACAGAGGAAGGUGGCCCAGAGCUGGGGUGGAAACUGAAAAACAGGCUUAUCUGAGUCUCCUAGAUACUUCUGAAGCCCAGGAUCACCAACAUCCCAGAUGCUGCAGAUUGCUGGUUAGGGAAGAAGGGAGAGGCAGUACCUGCAACAUUCCCGGGGGAGGGGGGGUGUCUUAGCUGACCUGGUACCAGAACCCACCUGGUGGCAUCUUUGUGCCCACUAAGGCCAGCCUUGCAGGUUGGUCCUCACACUCAAGCUUGGGACCACUUUUGCAGAGCAGUUUCUAUGACUUCAGAAAGACAAGAAGCCACCCUGAGGAGCAGCCCCUGGAGGACUGUCACCUACUCUAGGGCUGUACCAGUGGCAUAGGAGCUAUGGCUA